AUUCUACUCCCUCCGUUCCACAAUACAUGCCUUCUAUUUGUCAAGAUAUAGAUGUAUCUAGACAUGUUUUAGUAUAUAGGUACAUCCAUUUUUGGACAAAUGUAAGUCAAGUAUUUUGGAACGGAGGGAGUACACA
rnacentral:pre_miRNA from 1 species